rnacentral:rRNA from 1 species
AGUGAACGCUGGCGGUAGGCCUAACACAUGCAAGUCGAACGGCAGCACAGGAGAGCUUGCUCUCUGGGUGGCGAGUGGCGGACGGGUGAGGAAUACAUCGGAAUCUACUCUGUCGUGGGGGAUAGCGUAGGGAAACUUACGCUAAUACCGCAUACGACCUACGGGUGAAAGCAGGGGAACUUCGGACCUUGCGCGAUUGAAUGAGCCGAUGUCGGAUUAGCUAGUUGGCGGGGUAAAGGCCCACCAAGGCGACGAUCCGUAGCUGGUCUGAGAGGAUGAUCAGCCACACUGGAACUGAGACACGGUCCAGACUCCUACGGGAGGCAGCAGUGGGGAAUAUUGGACAAUGGGCGCAAGCCUGAUCCAGCCAUACCGCGUGGGUGAAGAAGGCCUUCGGGUUGUAAAGCCCUUUUGUUGGGAAAGAAAUCCAGCUGGCUAAUACCCGGUUGGGAUGACGGUACCCAAAGAAUAAGCACCGGCUAACUUCGUGCCAGCAGCCGCAGUAA